GGGGAUUUAGCUCAGUGGUAGAGUGCUUGCCUAGGAAGCGCAAGGCCCUGGGUUCGGUCCCCAGCUCCCCA
rfam:Rattus norvegicus chromosome 6, whole genome shotgun sequence.